AAACAGGGUCUCACUCCUGUUGCCUAGGCUGGAGUACAGUGGCACAAUCACGGCUCACUGCAGCCUUGACUUCCUAGGGUUCAGAUGAACCUCCCACCUCAGCCUCCCAAGUAGCUGAGACUACAGGCAUGUGCCACCACGCUUGGCUAAUUUUUUCUAUUUUUAGCAGAGAUGGAAUUUCACCAUGUUGGCUAGGCUGGUCUCGACCUCCUGGGCUCAAGUGAUCUGCCUGCCUCGACCUCCCAAAGUGCUGAGGUGACAGGUGUGAGCCACCACGCCUGGCCCCAAAUAAGAUUUCUUUUGGUUUCAAUAUGGAGCAAUUUUCUUUCUUGGUGCUAUUGUUUAUCUGAAUAGGGUCUAUGUUAAGAUGAUCCCUGUUCCUAAGGAAGAGCCACCAUUUCUAUAUGUGGCUUCAAGUCCAGUAUCUUUUCUUGCAUCUCUAACCCAGAAACAUCAGAUAAAAAGAGUUCCAAGUAAAUAAGAGCUUUAGUGUUUGGUUUUUCUUUUCUGGAAAUCAAUUAACUUCAACAGUCCCAACAACAUAAAGAUGAAAAGAGAAGGAAAGAAAAAGUUUUAAGGGACUAUUAUAGAAAGUAUAAAAUGUUUGUUAGAAUCAAAUGGUGAGUAGGAGAUCUGGAAAACAGAAGGAUUCAGUUGAUGUGAUUAAAAAAAGAUUUUGUUAAAUUGAUUAUUAUAAAGGGAUGAACAGUGAGAUGUUCUGUUUUGUAGAAAUUAUUAUUUUUUAAUAUGGAGUUAAAGAGCUUUCUCCCAAAUACCGAGCUAAAGUUUUCUUGAUUGAGUUUGACUCGCUCCAUCUCAGGAGUGACAGGUAGGGGAGUCCCCUUGCUCAAGUUCUCUUUGUACAAUAUCUGUGUGCACAAAACCAACAAACAAAUCAACCUGGACCCAUCAUUUUUUAGGUAGACUUAACCUAAAAAAACAGCCUAAAAGAAGUAUUUUUAUUGUUGUUUUUAUGAUGAAGUACCUCAGUAACUUUUAAAAAUAGAGUUAACUAUAGAUCCCCUUUGGACAUUUAGUCACACACAGGAUGUCUGUCUCUAAAAGACAUCAGUAAAACACAGCUGCCAGGCUGCCGGCAGGAGUGGCUUGACUUAUGUAGGCCUUCUCUCAAAGACCAGAGUAUCAAAUAGCAUUCAAACUAAUUGAAAUUAAUAUCCAUGAGUUGUUGGUAACAUUAAAUUAGGGAACCAAAGAAAGAGGAGAGAGAGAGACAGGUAGGUUUGGGGGAACAAAAUAAAGAAUAAAUGUUGAAAGCUAAAUAAUACUAGCUUUCAAUGAUACUGAAAGUUUUCCAAAGGAAAAAUUAAUUUAUAUCUUACAUAGCAUACAAAAAAUAGCCAAGACAAGUAAAUUAUAUUUACUGUGAAUUGCUGUGUUGUCUUUGAAUGAAAAUGUUUAAGAAUGACAUUCUUUUAAGAAAAGCUGCAAACCAGUGACCUCUAAUGAGAUUGGAGACUAGUAUUGUAAGUGAAGUAACUCAGGAAUGGAAAACCAAACAUUGUAUGUUCUCACUGAUAUGUGGGAACUAAGCUAUGAGGAUGCAAAGGCAUAAGAAUGAUACAGUGAACUUUGGGGACUUGCAGGAAAGAGUGGAAGUGAGGCGAGGGAAUAAAACACUACAAAUAUGGUGCAGUGUAUACUGCUUGGGUGAUGGGUGCACCAAAAUCUCACAAGUCACCACUAAAGAACUUAGUAACCAAAUACCACCUGUACCUCCCAAACUUAUGGAAAAAUAAAUAAACAUCUAAACAUAAAAAAAAAAAAACUUAAAAGCUGCAAACAUAAAGAAUACAUUAAACAG
rnacentral:lncRNA from 10 species